UACGGGAGGCAGCAGUGGGGAAUAUUGCACAAUGGGCGCAAGCCUGAUGCAGCCAUGCCGCGUGUAUGAAGAAGGCCUUCGGGUUGUAAAGUACUUUCAGUCGUGAGGAAGGUGUUAAGGUUAAUAACCUUAGCAAUUGACGUUAGCGACAGAAGAAGCACCGGCUAACUCCGUGCCAGCAGCCGCGGUAAUACGGAGGGUGCGAGCGUUAAUCGGAAUUACUGGGCGUAAAGGGCACGCAGGCGGUUAAUUAAGUUGGAUGUGAGAUCCCCGGGCUUAACCUGGGAAUGGCAUUCAAGACUGGUUAGCUAGAGUCUUGUAGAGGGGGUUAGAAUUCCAUGUGUAGCGGUGAAAUGCGUAGAGAUGUGGAGGAAUACCGGUGGCGAAGGCGGCCCCUGGGACAAAGACUGACGCUCAUGUGCGAAAGCGUGGGGAGCAAACAGGGAUUAGAUACC
rnacentral:rRNA from 1 species